rnacentral:rRNA from 1 species
UACGUAGGGUGCGAGCGUUAAUCGGAAUUACUGGGCGUAAAGCGUGCGCAGGCGGUUGGUUAAGUCCUGAUGUGAAAGCCCCGGGCUUAACCUGGGAACUGCGUUUGAAACUGGGAGACUUGAGUGUGGCAGGAGGGGGGUGGAAUUCCGACGAUGUAGCAGUGAAAUGCGUAGAUAUGUGGAGGAACACCGGUGGCGAAGGCGGCAUCCUGGACCGAGAUUGACGCUGAGGCGCGAAAGCCAGGGGAGCAAACGGG